GGGAGGUUGAUAGAAUUGAAUAAAAUAUGAAAACAGGAAAAUUUCAGCUCCUGACAACUGGAUCAUAAGAAUUAGUCAAUCUCAUACCAAAAUUUACCAGUUUCAGUCUCAUGUUCACAAACAUAGUUGUGGCCUAUUUCUUUGUGUUGAGCUGUAAUCUUGCAUGCAUUCUUACAUAUGUAUAAUUUUGUGCGUGUAUGUGUGUAUGCUGAAGUCAUUCUUUGAGAAAUAGUAAAGAGAGAAACAGUGAUUUCUCUUAAGAUUAUGUUCUUUAUUAGGGAGUGCGGGGGGCUGAGAGGCAGCUGAGAUAGAAUGAAUAAAAGGGGUCUUGACACAUAAUGUUUUGGGUUAAGUGAGUGAAGGAGUAGAAUAGAUGGAAAAAAAAAGGACCAAGAAGGGCUGAAGGAAAGAAAAUUGGAGUGAAAAGCAAUAGAGAAGAAGGAUGUGAGAUAGAGAGAACCUGGUUGUGAGCUGCAGAAAAACUGUAACUGUAGUAUUUUCUUACCCCUUUUGUAGGUAGUUUGUUGUUCUAAAGCAAUGUUGCCUUCUUUCUUUCAUUUUGUUGUUUUAAUUUGAUUUGGUUUGCAUGGGAAUGGUAAGACUGCUUGCAUAGUUGAAUCAAUGGUGGAG
rnacentral:misc_RNA from 1 species